CUGUCUGGUGAUCACUGGACGACCUUGCACGCCCUGCUCCCUCUCUACAGAUCGAUUACUACGUGCUUGAUCAAGGAUGGCCGGUCGACAGCUUUCUGGUUUGAUGCUUGGCAUGGGGAAGAUGACCUGUCUACCAAGUUCCCAUCCCUCUUCAGUCACGCCAAGAAAACUGAGGUCAGCGUGCGUGAAGUCCUGGAAACUGGCCUUGCAGCACACCUCGUGCCACGCCUGACCCCGCAAGCUGUAGAAGAGCGAGAUGCACUUCAGUUGGUUCUCGACAACGUGUUGUUGUCCGAGGCGUCGGACGUGCGCCACUGUCCCAUUGCUGGUGUUGGAGGCAAUCUACGUACUGAGAGCCUUUACCAUGUCAUGCGCAAUGGCGAGGGGGUGCACAGUGCCGAGAUUGCCCCGGACCACAGCAACGUUCUUCUGAGCCUGCUUCGACCGUCUACUGUCCCAGCGAAACACUACAACAUGUUUGUCCUUCUCUGUUGCUGGCAGCUUUGGAAACGCAGAAAUGCUGUGGUGUUCCGCGGGGAAAGAUCGCCGCUUGCAAUAACCAUGCUACUGUGCCGCUAUGAAGCUGAAUUAUGGAGAUACAGGCUACGACAUGAAGACCACCAGAUCGUGGUUGCCUGGUGUCGUGCUCUGUGUGUAACAUAG
rnacentral:misc_RNA from 1 species